CCCUUAGAUGUUCUGGGCGGCCCGCGCACUACAAUGGCGUGUGCAGCGAGUGCCGAAGUAGAGUUUUCCGGGGUAUUCUUGCAAUGCUCGUUUUGAUGGGGAUAGACCCUUGCAACUGUUGGUUUUGAACGAGGAAUUCCUUGUAAGCAUGGUUUAUCAUCCGACGCUGAAUGCGUCCCUGCCCUUUGUACACACCGCCCGUCGCUCCUACCGAUGAGUCGUCCGGUGAAGUUCGUAGACCUCGUGAUCGCGGAUCACUGGGGGAAGCAAAAUGAACCUCGCGGUUUAGAGGAAGGAGAAGUCGUAACA
rnacentral:rRNA from 1 species